rnacentral:rRNA from 1 species
UGGGGAAUAUUGCACAAUGGGGGAAACCCUGAUGCAGCAACGCCGCGUGAGUGAUGAAGGCCUUCGGGUUGUAAAGCUCUGUCUUCAGGGACGCUAAUGACGGUACCUGAGGAGGAAGCCACGGCUAACUACGUGCCAGCAGCCGCGGUAAUACGUAGGUGGCAAGCGUUGUCCGGAUUUACUGGGCGUAAAGGGAGCGUAGGCGGAUACUUAAGUGGGAUGUGAAAUACCUGGGCUUAACUUGGGUGCUGCAUUCCAAACUGGGUGUCUAGAGUGUUGGAGAGGAAAGUGGAAUUCCUAGUGUAGCGGUGAAAUGCGUAGAGAUUAGGAAGAACACCAGUGGCGAAGGCGACUUUCUGGACAAUAACUGACGCUGAGGCUCGAAAGCGUGGGGAGCAAACAG